rfam:Glycine soja cultivar W05 scaffold497_1, whole genome shotgun sequence.
UGUGCAGGGAUUGUGUGUAUCGGUGUUGUGCUACAAUCAUUGCACUAUUCCGAAAGAGUUCCCUGCAAAACAAAUUAGGGGAAGAUGGGCAGUUGUGCUUCACUUUGCUGUUGAAAAUAACAACAAUCAUCUCCCCUACACUU